CCUACGGGUGGCAGCAGUGAGGAAUAUUGGUCAAUGGGCGCGAGCCUGAACCAGCCAAGUCGCGUGAGGGAAGACGGUCCUAUGGAUUGUAAACCUCUUGUGGCGGGGAGCAAAAGACGCCACGCGUGGCGUUCCGAGAGUACCCGAAGAAAAAGCAUCGGCUAACUCCGUGACAGGAGCCGCGGUAAUACGGAGGAUGCGAGCGUUAUCCGGAUUUAGUGGGGUUAAAGGGUGAGCAGGCGGAAGAUCAAGUCGGCGGUAAAAUUGAUAGGCUCAACCUCUUCGAGCCGUUGAAACUGGUUUUCUUGAGUGAGCGAGAAGUAUGCGGAAUGCGUGGUGUAGCGGUGAAAUGCAUAGAUAUCACGCAGAACUCCGAUUGCGAAGGCAGCAUACCGGCGCUCAACUGACGCUCAUGCACGAAAGUGUGGGUAUCGAACAGGAUUAGAUACCCUUGUAGUC
rnacentral:rRNA from 1 species